AGCCGGAGGGAAACCGAGUCUUAAUUGGGCGUUAAGUUGCAGGGUAUAGACCCGAAACCCGGUGAUCUAGCCAUGGGCAGGUUGAAGGUUGGGUAACACUAACUGGAGGACCGAACCGACUAAUGUUGAAAAAUUAGCGGAUGACCUGUGGCUGGGGGUGAAAGGCCAAUCAAACCGGGAGAUAGCUGGUUCUCCCCGAAAGCUAUUUAGGUAGCGCCUCGUGAAUUCAUCUCCGGGGGUAGAGCACUGUUUCGGCUAGGGGGCCAUCCCGGCUUACCAACCCGAUGCAAACUGCGAAUACCGGAGAAUGUUAUCACGGGAGACACACGGCGGGUGCUAACGUCCGUCGUGAAGAGGGAAACAACCCAGACCGCCAGCUAAGGUCCCAAAGUCAUGGUUAAGUGGGAAACGAUGUGGGAAGGCCCAGACAGCCAGGAUGUUGGCUUAGAAGCAGCCAUCAUUUAAAGAAAGCGUAAUAGCUCACUGGUCGAGUCGGCCUGCGCG
rnacentral:rRNA from 1 species